CUCUUCCAGAGGUGUAUCCAUCAAAUUCCAGAGCUCCAACAUUGUUGAAGCUGGAUCUUGGAGCUGCCAGACCAUAAGCAAUUUACAACUUUCAGCCAGAGAAAAUAACAUGAAAUUGUCCCUCUGAAUUUCCUAAGCUAGGAUGGAUUCCACUGACUAUCUGCUAAGUCCAAGACAAGCACUGAACAGAGAGAAUUUAAGGUAGUCAGUUGGUCGGUCUUGAAACUUCUUGAGGCGCUCACUUUGCAUGGAAAGUAACAAAGAACAAUACAUGAUGGUUUAAAUUGAUUUACACACACUCAGAUAGAGAGAGAGGAAAAUAGAAGAAGAUUAUUGACCUUCUCCUUUUGAAAUGCAAAAAGCUGUCUGGAAUUCUUCAAGCUUUCUCAAUGAUAAAUCAGUUUCAUCUACAGCAGCUGUAAUACUUGGACUAUAAAUCUCAUUUGUGAUACUUUGAAUCUGUUCUUGAACUUCUAUAAAUUGAUUUCUACGCUCA